UACGUAGGGGGCAAGCGUUGUCCGGAAUCAUUGGGCGUAAAGAGCGCGUAGGCGGCCCUGUAAGUCCGCUGUGAAAGUCAAGGGCUCAACCCUUGAAUGCCGGUGGAUACUGCAGGGCUAGAGUCCGGAAGAGGCGAGUGGAAUUCCUGGUGUAGCGGUGAAAUGCGCAGAUAUCAGGAGGAACACCGAUGGCGAAGGCAGCUCGCUGGGACGGUACUGACGCUGAGAAGCGAAAGCGUGGGGAGCGAACAGG
rnacentral:rRNA from 1 species